GACGAACGCUGGCGGCGUGCUUAACACAUGCAAGUCGAACGAGUGGCGCACGGGUGAGUAAUACGUGGGUAACCUGCCCUCUGUUUGGGAUAAAACUUGGAACCCGGGUCUAAUACCGAAUAAGGGGGAUGUGCUCGCGGCCUAUCAGUGUGUUGGUGGGGUGGUGGCCUACCAAGGCGGUGACUGGUAGACGGCCUGAGAUGGGGACUGGCCACAGUUGGACUGCGGCGCGGCCAAGACUACUGCGGGAAGGAGGAGGGGGGGGUAUUGGACAAUUGGCGAAAGCCUGAUGCAGCGACGCCGCGUGGAGGAUGAAGGCUGUCGGGUUGGAAAACUGUUUCGCUAUCGAACGGGUAGGUGGAGAAGAAGCGCCGGCUAACUACGUGCCAGCAGCCGCGGUAAUUC
rnacentral:rRNA from 1 species